GUUUGGGGGGCUUACAGGUGCCCUGGCACUGCAAAGUAGUGUCACUGUAACCAGAUACACAAACAUCAAGGCCCAGCCUUCAAGACCCUGUGGAGGUCCCCUAGGCCUCCUCCCUCUGCAAGACAAGCCGGUGCCUGAAGCUCUGGACCUUCCUACUUGUCAUCCAAAGCGGGAUUUCCAGCCUUGUGAGGAGGAUGGGCAGCUUGUGUCCAGCACAGAGACCAUGUGGGCAGAAGAAAAGAAUUUGGAGAAUGUUGAGGAAGAGGGGAAAAGUGACUGCAGGAGAAACGGAGAGCUGGAUUCUCAUCUAACAGAGGACCCGCAUCUGCUUCUCUGUUGGAUGUAGCAGAUGAAGAAGAAUGAAACCUUGCAUGCUCAGAACUUCCAUGCAGAAGAGUGCCCCUUAUGUGAUACAGUUGCUGUCUGGUUUAGCGUUUUGUUUUGUUUUUCUUCUAAUCCAAAGAGACCAAAAGAAAACUACACAGACUGGAAGGUUGAAGAAUAAACUACAGAACCAACAGGAUUGUGAAGACUUUUGGCUGCUGUUUCCACUGGGCUGUAAUAGUUAACAGCUCAAAAGAAAACCUGAGGACACAAAAUCAAAAAGUUGAGUUUCUUACACGCUUGGUGGUAGUUGAAUAUUUAGGCAGUUUAGUUGAGGGGAGGAGGGAAAGGAAACCCCAAACCAAAACUGUCUGUAAAAAGUGAGAGCAAGAAGGCAGCAAGAAAAGAAGCCGGAUC